CAGCCGCCACGGGAAUACGUAGGGCGCAAGCGUUGUCCGGAAUUAUUGGGCGUAAAGAGCUCGUAGGCGGUCUGUCGCGUCUGGUGUGAAAUCCCGAGGCUCAACCUCGGGCUUGCAUCGGGUACGGGCAGACUAGAGUGCGGUAGGGGAGACUGGAAUUCCUGGAGUAGCGGUGGAAUGCGCAGAUAUCAGGAGGAACACCGAUGGCGAAGGCAGGUCUCUGGGCCGCAACUGACGCUGAGGAGCGAAAGCAUGGGGAGCGAACAGGAUUAGAUACCCCCGUAGUCCCUGUCUCUUAUAA
rnacentral:rRNA from 1 species